rnacentral:rRNA from 1 species
GCCCGCUCAGAAACUUAAAGGAAUUGACGGGGCCCGCACAAGCAGCGGAGCGUGUGGUUUAAUUCGAUGCUACACGAAGAACCUUACCAAGGUUUGACAUGUAAGUGGUAGUGAUCUGAAAAGUGAACGACCCUUCGGGGAGCUUACACAGGUGCUGCAUGGCUGUCGUCAGCUCGUGUCGUGAGAUGUUCGGUUAAGUCCGCUAACGAGCGCAACCCUCACUGUGUGUUACAUGUGUCACACGGGACUGCCGGUUUUAAGCCGGAGGAAGGCGAGGAUGACGUCAAGUCAGCAUGGCCUUUAUAUCUUGGGCUACACACACGCUACAAUGGUCUGUACAAUAGGUUGCCAAGCCGCGAGGCGGAGCCAAUCCUUAAAGCAGGCCUCAGUUCAGAUUGCAGGCUGCAACCCGCCUGCAUGAAGAUGGAGUUGCUAGUAACCGCAGGUCAGCUAUACUGCGGUGAAUACGUUCCCGGGUCUU